rnacentral:rRNA from 1 species
CAGUCGCCGCGGUAAUACAGAGGGUGCAAUCGUUAAUCGGAAUUACUGGGCGUAAAGCGCGCGUAGGUGGUUUGUUAAGUUGGAUGUGAAAUCCCCGGGCUCAACCUGGGAACUGCAUCCAAAACUGGCAAGCUAGAGUAUGGUAGAGGGUGGUGGAAUUUCCUGUGUAGCGGUGAAAUGCGUAGAUAUAGGAAGGAACACCAGUGGCGAAGGCGACCACCUGGACUGAUACUGACACUGAGGUGCGAAAGCGUGGGGAGCAAACAGGAUUAGAUACCCCGGUAGUCCCUGUCUCUUAUAC